UACGUAGGGUGCAAGCGUUGUCCGGAAUUAUUGGGCGUAAAGAGCUCGUAGGCGGUCUGUCGCGUCUGCUGUGAAAACUCGAGGGCUUAACCCUGAGCUUGCAGUGGGGUACGGGCAGACUAGAGUGGCGGUAGGGGAGACUGGAAUUCCUGGUGUAGCGGUGAAAUGCGCAGAUAGUCAGGAGGGAACACCGGUGGGCGAAGGCGGGUCUCUGGGCCGUAACUGAACGCUGGAGGAG
rnacentral:rRNA from 1 species